UACGAAGGGGGCUAGCGUUGUCCGGAUUUAUUGGGCGUAAAGAGCUCGUAGGCGGCUUGUUGCGUCGACCGUGAAAACUUGGGGCUUAACCUUAAGCUUGCGGUUGAUACGGGCAGGCUAGAGUUCGGUAGGGGAGACUGGAAUUCCUGGUGUAGCGGUGAAAUGCGCAGAUAUCAGGAAGAACACCCGUGGCGAAGGCGGCUCUCUGGGACGGUACUGACGCUGAGACGCGAAAGCGUGGGGAGCGAACAGG
rnacentral:rRNA from 1 species